CCCCCCCUCUCUCUUCUUCCUCUCCUCCUCCCCCUCUCUAUAUGUCUAUGCUCUAUCCUUUUUAAAUGUUGUGUCAAGCAAGGAAACAUCACACAACGUAUUUAAAGUCUUUCAUAUAACUCAUUCCUUGGCCGGUGUCUGAAGCACCAAACUCCUCAACCCUUAACGAAUGACGUCAUUGAGUCAACCAAUAAUAAAAUUAAAGUUUAUUUUGGAGCUCUUUGAAGUCUAUUAUGAAACAUUAUUUUUUUGGUCACAAUGAUAAAUAGGGGGAGGUUUUUGCUUAAUUAAAUGACUGCCUUGCACUACAACCUUUGUUCAAAGACUUUCAGUUGGCUGCUGUUAUUAGCAACGCCCACAUUGUUUGUUCAGCUUUGUGAUAAUCCUCAUACUCACAGUCACAGAGCGUCAGUACUGCCGAAGCAGCUUCCUGACCAAGGGUUAUACUGGGUGGUUUGCCAUUGCCUUUCCAGCAGUAGUUUGGGCUGGAAUUUGGCCACAAUUCUGGUGAUAGCUCCCCUACUCUUCGCAAAGGAGACUGUGGGGAUCUUUAACGUUUAUCAACUAAUGUCGGAAGACGGGACACCCAGUUAAAUGGCCAUCGGAGGGACGGCACAGACAUUGCUGAAUCAUCCUGCCUGUGAAACACUGGGAUGACAGUUUAUCGCUGGGUUGGGAUUCAAACCCAUGCUCGACAUUUUAUAGAUUCAAGGGAGAGCAGCCUGGAAAGCAAAGAUGACAGCAGUAACUUAAGGGAUAUAGCAUUGGAAGGACGCCAUCCUGUGGACGUUCAAAGUUUGGAGAAACCUGCCGUCUUCAUGGCUCACCAUAAUCCUGCAGUAUGCAUGAUCCGGCCAACAGCACAGGUCGUCCCAAUGCAGACAUCGAUGCGCAAAGGUCAUCCAUGUUUCUCUUCUGGGUCACCCGCCACAUGCGUUCCAUUCCACCGACACAAGGACAUUGGUACCAGCACUCUUUCAACAUCUGACAUGGACUCUGUGAACCGAAUUUCGGCAACGAUGGAUGGCAGACCACAGUUACAAGAUUACAAUGCAUCUUCGAGGCGCUUUGUGACCUGUGCGCCAAAUCAUUCAGCUUCCCCAGCUGUCCGUUCCAUUCUCGUUGGUCACGGUUUUGCAAUGCGUGGUCCGAGAGCACCAAGCGCUGCUUUUUCUUCAGCAUCGAGCCAAGAUAAUAAUGAUGCAAUGAGACUUUUAUCACAGCACCCACUCAAUGUCAAUCAAAUUGGCACACUUCAUUCUCAGUCUCCUGUUGAUAAUGCUACUCCUGUAAACGGCAUCAAAGAGACCCCAAGAGGCAAUUCUCAGCCUGAAGGCCAAGAGCAAACACUCAUUUUUGGCUCUGAGGCUGAGGGAGUUGGAACAAAACCCACCCCAAAACCACAAGAACUACCAGCACCUGGUGCUCCUGCUGGUAUCCCCGCAGUAUGUACUGCAGGCCGUGGUGUUUUUGCCAUCCCCCGGCAAGUUGCACAAGCCACUACAUCAGCGAUUUUUAGCUAUGGUGGGCCUUCUCUUCGCAAUGGUGGGUGUGACAUUGAAAACGCAGCCAAACACAGUCCAUCAUCUUGCAUUGCUGCUUGUGGACCACCUACUCGAGCAACAUGCAGGCCAGCGGGCUGUAGCGAGUGCACGUCGUGUGGCUGUGAUGGGGGCUGUGGAGACAGCAAUGGCAAAAGUGCUCCGUGCAGAGGCCAGACAUUGGGUUAUCAGUAUCUCCAACCCAUUUCCCACUCCCUUCAUUGGUUUCCCUAUUUUUUCCCUGGGUAG
rnacentral:lncRNA from 1 species